GACGAACGCUGGCGGCGUGCCUAAUACAUGCAAGUAGAACGCACAGUUUAUACCGUAGCUUGCUACACCAUAAACUGUGAGUUGCGAACGGGUGAGUAACGCGUAGGUAACCUGCCUGGUAGCGGGGGAUAACUAUUGGAAACGAUAGCUAAUACCGCAUAAUAUUGAUUAUUGCAUGAUAAUUGAUUGAAAGAUGCUAUUGCAUCACUACCAGAUGGACCUGCGUUGUAUUAGCUAGUAGGUGAGGUAACGGCUCACCUAGGCGACGAUACAUAGCCGACCUGAGAGGGUGAUCGGCCACACUGGGACUGAGACACGGCCCAGACUCCUACGGGAGGCAGCAGUAGGGAAUCUUCGGCAAUGGACGAAAGUCUGACCGAGCAACGCCGCGUGAGUGAAGAAGGUUUUCGGAUCGUAAAGCUCUGUUGUAAGAGAAGAACGGGUGUGAGAGUGGAAAAUUCACACUGUGACGGUAUCUUACCAGAAAGGGACGGCUAACUACGUG
rnacentral:rRNA from 1 species